rnacentral:rRNA from 1 species
GACGAACGCUGGCGGCGUGCUUAACACAUGCAAGUCGAACGCUGAAGCUUGGUGCUUGCACUGGGUGGAUGAGUGGCGAACGGGUGAGUAAUACGUGAGUAACCUGCCCUUGACUCUGGGAUAAGCCUGGGAAACUGGGUCUAAUACUGGAUAUGACAUGCCACUGCAUGGUGGUCUGUGGAAAGGGUUUUACUGGUUUUGGAUGGGCUCACGGCCUAUCAGCUUGUUGGUGGGGUAAUGGCCUACCAAGGCGACGACGGGUAGCCGGCCUGAGAGGGUGACCGGCCACACUGGGACUGAGACACGGCCCAGACUCCUACGGGAGGCAGCAGUGGGGAAUAUUGCACAAUGGGCGGAAGCCUGAUGCAGCGACGCCGCGUGAGGGAUGACGGCCUUCGGGUUGUAAACCUCUUUCAGCACGGAAGAAGCGAGAGUGACGGUACGUGCAGAAGAAGCGCCGGCUAACUACGUG